UACAGAGACUGCAAGCGUUAUUCGGAUUCACUGGGCGUAAAGGGUGCGCAGGCGGCCAAGUGUGUCAGGUGUGAAAUCCCGAGCUUAACCUCGGAACUGCGCCUGAAACUACUUGGCUAGAGUACUGGAGAGGGUAACGGAAUUCACGGUGUAGCAGUGAAAUGCGUAGAUAUCGGGAGGAACACCAGUGGCGAAGGCGACUUACUGGACACAUAUUGACGCUGAGGCGCGAAAGCGUGGGGAGCAAACAGG
rnacentral:rRNA from 1 species